CUUUUUUAUAUCAUAAGACAGCUGGAAGCUGAAUUGCCCACUCCUCAAGAACAGCAUUCUGGUUUACACUAUCAAGCGUUUAUUAGCAGUCCAGUCGCACCCCCCCAUACAGAAUUCUAGUCUGAAAAUCCUACUAGAUUCAUCACAGAAAUUUAAUUUGAAACAGGUGUGUAGCUUGGUUACAAACGCAGCCAGUAGUUUAUGGGAUGGGAUUGGGAAAGGAGUCUGUAAACCAUGCACGCAAGUGCAUGCUUUGCUCAGCAGUGUUUCCCUUGGUUACUCCCCCCUCCCCAUUGCAAGAUUUAACAGAGGAAGCAGUGUUACUAUUCUUCAAAGCCUUCCUAGCUUCAGCAAUAGAGAAUUUAAACAGGAAGCUUCUGAAGAUGGAGACAACUCAAAGAAAUGUCCCUACUUACCUUGCCCUGUCGAUCUUUAACUUGUUGUGUUGCUGCCUCCCACUUGGAAUAGCUGCUCUCAUCUAUUCUCUCAGAGUAGAGAAUGCAGCUGGGACAGGUGACAUGGAGCGAGCGUCCCAAGCUUCCCGCACUGCCCGCAUACUGAAUAUCAUCGGGAUUGUCAUAGGAGUAAUUUUCCUCAUCAUUAUAAUUGUCGUAGUGGUAGUGGGGAGAACUGCCAAGUGAUAGAAGCCAGCGUCAUCUUCGAAAAACUCACCGGCGCUGGACAAUAGCCAUGUAUCCAGUGCGAGCCCUCCUACCUACUCAAAGAGCCAACUGGGCGCAAAAAGGGGAGUCCUCGGCACCACUGAGACUGCCAGCCAGAAGCUGCGUCAUGCACAAGCACCAGCCUGUCCUUUUAGAAGCAUUUCUCCAUAAUUAAUUGCUUUGCGCUUUUGAAUUAACCAGAUUAACAUGUUUUUCUCUAUUGGUAUGCAAAUAUAUUGUAACAAGAUACAAUAAAAAAGGAUUUGUAUACAAGUGUCUCCCUACAAGUUUGUUUCAUGUUGGAUUAAUAUACGGGGCCAAAGAAUCAAAGGUGUUAAUGUAACCAUGAAACUACCCAACAUUAAACAAGGUUCGGGUUUUUGUGUACAGAGACCUCAACCUGUUUAAUACCCUGGCCAACACACCACUAAAGAUGCUUUUAAACUUUUAUUAAAGAUACAGAAACAAAAGGAAAAGUGUUGCAAAAUAUAUGGUCUUGGCCAGCUAAGCCAUACUAUUAUUAGACAGAAGGGAAAAGGAGAGGGCUAGGAAAGAAAAGAACUAAGGUGCGGGAAAGGAAAGGGCACAUAGGAGUAUGUGUCUAUGUGAGGCACUAGUUUCCCAUCCCAGGUAGUGCUCAGGGGUUAGCCAGAUCUGGUGGGCAUGGUGAGGUCAUCUGAGGUCCCUCUCUUUGGCCUGGUCUGGUCAGGACAUCUCUUGGGAUUAGGACAAAAAAGGCACAAUGGAGUCACACUAAAUCCCAGGAGACUGCUUGUUUAGAAAGAGCUGUGUGGUAAUUUAUAACUGCGGGAAGUUACACGGUUGUCAACCUCAGAGGCGGAAGCAAAACAGGCCUUCUUAGUUAGACUGUCAUUUGCUGGAAAUAACACAAUGAAGUCCGGGAACUGUUCAGCCUGGAAAUACCCCAGUCAGGAGGGAGACAGAGGCAGGGCUCCACCCAAGAAAGGCAACAGCUAUGGGAGGGUUAGGGGUGGAAGCCCCACAUCCUUUCAGAAAGAUAAAAAUGAAAUAAACACACUAUCAUUUUUUUGCAACAUCAACUUGAUGCAGCUACAUUUUAUUCCAGCUCUUCUUGCAUGGCUGCCAAAGAGAGAUGCCCAGGGCAAAAAAUGGUCAGAUUAAAGUGACUGCACGCGGUGGAAUAUUGCAGCUGAUUCUCCAGCUGCCUUUACAAGGUGUGGCUAGGCCUAUGGUAUCUGCACAUUCAAAAGAGCCAGAAACGAGCAUUUGCUACAUGUUUGUAGCUUCCAUAGUUCAGAGUCAGUUAGAGGAUGGUUGGCUUUUUUCCAUACAAAAAUCCUUAUUUUUAAUCAAUAUGCAAGGUGACUUGUCUAACCAAGAGACCCCUUCUUAGUGGUGCUCUCAUGCCCUAGGAUUUAUAGAGCUGAAGUAAAGAACCUGGGACCCCUCAGGGUCCAGUAAAGCUCUCCCUGCUCCUACCAUCAAUGGAAAAAUCUACUGGGGUCAAGUCUUCAGCCUCAGAUCCAUUUUCUUUUCAGGGCUUCUCAAAACCUUUCACUCCACAACAUUUUUCUUCCAGAGGGCAGAAAAUCCCUGUGCUCUAAUGGAGCCCCUGCUGCUUGGUAAACAUUCAGAUGGGGAAACUGUAUCUCUGUUGCAAUCACUCUUUCCUAUGCUCCAGGAAGCGUGUGUAUUUCUUUCUUUCGUGAAGCAUGAGUUACGGUAAUUAGAAACUAGGGGCCCUAGUCUGUGUGGUGGGAAUGGCCUGACUCAGUUGAAAAUAUUGCACAUAAGAAUCUCCCCAUUCCCAUUACUUGUCCUUUCUUUUCAGGCCAUUGAGAAUUACAGUAAUGUGGAAGAGGAUUCGGGUGCUGGUGUGUGUGUCUGGGAGGGGCCUCCCCCAUGCAAGCUUUUGAAAGGGUAUUUACACAGGCUGGAAGAAACUAAAAAGCAAGAGGCAUCCACGUUCCCUGCAUUGGCCAAGCCGCAGGCUACAAUGACUGAACCGUAUUCAACCAGAGCGGAAAAAGGACGAAUUGAGAGAAGCAGGAGUGGGAUCAGUGUUUGUACAGCU